UACGGAGGAUGCGAGCGUUAUCCGGAUUUAUUGGGUUUAAAGGGUGCGUAGGCGGGACCUUAAGUCAGCGGUAAAAUUGCGGUGCUCAACGCCGUAGAGCCGUUGAAACUGGGGUUCUUGAGUGGGCGAGAAGUACGCGGAAUGCGCGGUGUAGCGGUGAAAUGCAUAGAUAUCGCGCAGAACUCCGAUUGCGAAGGCAGCGUACCGGCGCCAGACUGACGCUGAGGCACGAAAGCGUGGGGAUCGAACAGG
rnacentral:rRNA from 1 species